ACACACCCCCUGUCAGCGACUAUUGCUAUAUCACCCUGAUCCAAGAAGCUAAGCAGGGUCGGGCCUGGCCAGCACUUAGAUGGGAGGCUUCUUGGGAAUUUUGGGUUUC
ensembl:rRNA 5S_rRNA 5S ribosomal RNA